CCCGCGGCCGCCGGACAGUUCCCAGCCCGAGCCGGAGAAGGCCGGUCCUCGCCGGUCGGAGGACGCGACCCCCCCAGACCAGAACCCGCCGAGAACACGGUCAGGAAAUCAAAACAGAACCCUCCCGCGAACAGGGAUGGACUCGGAGGUGCCAGUCAGAGCAGAGAUGCCUCGAGUUCUACGCAUAGCCACAGUCCAGCAAGCAGUGAAUCGAUUUAAAAGAUGUAUGAUCGAACAACAAGAAGUGUUUGCAUACAUUCAAUACUGACAGGAGGAGCAAAGGAACAGGUCUUGGAGUUAAGUCAACAGGAGAAGAGUCCAGUGAGGUCACAGAUGAGCUUCCUGGCUGCUGAAAGCUUGCUGGCAGCUGAGCUGAUGCCCAGGGAAACUGGAAGGUUUCUUCUGGAGCAACCAUCUGAUCCAAAGAGAGCUGUUUGUUGUUACUGACCUUUGGUGGCCCCAAUAAAAUGGUAAGUCCCUACCUAACCAUCC